AGGGAAUAUUGGGCAAUGGAUGCAAGUCUGACCCAGCCAUGCCGCGUGCAGGAAGAAGGUCCUCUGGAUUGUAAACUGCUUUUAUCGGGGAAGAAUAGUUCUCUUGCGAGGGACUGUGACGGUACCCGAUGAAUAAGCCACGGCUAACUACGUGCCAGCAGCCGCGGUACUACGUAGGUGGCAAGCGUUGUCCGGAUUUAUUGGGUUUAAAGGGUGCGUAGGUGGUUUUAUAAGUCAGUGGUGAAAGCUGGUUGCUCAACAAUCAAGUUGCCAUUGAUACUGUUAGACUUGAGAGAAGUGGAGGUUCAUGGAAUGGAUGGUGUAGCGGUGAAAUGCAUAGAUAUCAUCCAGAACGUCGAUUGCGAAGGCAGUGGGCUGUACUUUUUCUGACACUGAGGCACGAAAGCGUGGGGAUCAAAC
rnacentral:rRNA from 1 species